AGUUCGAUCAUGGCUCAGAUUGAACGCUGGCGGGAUGCUUUGCAUGCAGUCGGGCGGCGGCACGGACUUCGAUUCCUGGUGGCGAGUGGCGAACGGGUGAGUAAUGUCGGAACGUGCCUGGUAGCGGGGAUAACUACGCGAAAGCGUAGCACAAUACCACAUAACGCUAAAGGAAAGCGGGGACCUUCGGGCUCGCACUAUUAGAGCGGUCGAUAUCCGGAUUAGCUGGUUGGUGGGGUAACGGCUCGCAGAAGCGGCAAAUCCGUAGCUGGUUUGAGAGGACGACAGCCACACUGGGACUGAGACACAGCCCAGACUCUGCAGGAGGCAGCAGUGAAAUUUUGGACAAUGAAACCUGAUCCAGCCAUCCCGCGUGUGCGAUGAAGGCCUUCAGGUUGUAAAGCACUUUUGGCAGGAAAGAAGCAGCACGGGAUAAUACCCCGUGCAACUGACGGUACCUGCGAAUAACGCAACUAACUACGUGCCAGCAGCCGCGGUAAUACGUAGGGUGCAAGCGUUAAUCGGAAUUACUGGGCAUCCGGCGUGCACGGGCGGUUCGGAAAGUCUUAAAAUCUGAAGAGCUGCUUUGGGUGCAUUUUUAACUACCGAGCUAGAGUGUGUCGGGGAGGUGGGAGAUACAUCUUAUGCGAUCGUGCGUAGAUAUGCCGGAGGAACACCGAUGGCGAAGGCAGCCUCCUGGGAUAACACUGACGCUCAUACGAAAGCGAUAAGGGCAAACAGGAUUAGAUACCUGAAAAUGAAUCCACGCCUAAACGAUGUCAGCUAGCUGUUGGGGCCUUCGGGCCUUGGUGGCGCAGCUAACGCGUGAAGUUGACCGCCUGGGGAAGUACGGUCACUUAGAAUUAAACUCAAAGGAAUUGACGAGGACCCGCACAAGCGGUGGAUGAUGUGGAUUAAUUCGAUGCAACGCGAAAAACCUUACCUACCCUUGACAUGUCUGGAAUCCCGAAGAGAUUUGGGAGUGCUCGCAAGAGAACCGGAACACAGGUGCUGCAUGGCUGUCGUCAGCUCGUGUCGUGAGAUGUUGGAGUUUGAUCCCGCAACGAGCGCAGCCCUUGUCAUUAGUUGCUACGAAAAGGGCACUCUAAUGAGACUGCCGGUGACAAACCGGAGGAAGGUGGGGAGAUGGCGAUAAGUCCUCAUGGCCCUUAUGGGUAGGGCUUCACACGUCAUACAAUGGUCGGGACAGAGGGUCGCCAACCCGCGAGGGGAGCCAAUCCCAGAAACCCGAUCGUAGUCCGGAUCGCAGUCUAUAAACUCGACUGCGUGAAGUCGGAAUCGCUAGUAAUCGCGGAUCAGCAUGUCGCGGUGAAUACGUUCCCAGGUCUUGUACACACCGCCCGUCACACCAUGGGAGUGGGUUUUACCAGAAGUAGUUGAAACAAUAACCCAGCAAGGAGGGCGAUUACCACGGUAGGAUUCAUGACUAGGUGAAGUCGUAACAAGGUAA
rnacentral:rRNA from 1 species